rnacentral:rRNA from 1 species
CCUACGGGAGGCAGCAGUGGGGAAUAUUGGACAAUGGGCGAAAGCCUGAUCCAGCAAUGCCGCGUGAGUGAUGAAGGCCUUAGGGUCGUAAAGCUCUUUUACCAGGGAUGAUAAUGACAGUACCUGGAGAAUAAGCUCCGGCUAACUCCGUGCCAGCAGCCGCGGUAAUACGGAGGGAGCUAGCGUUGUUCGGAAUUACUGGGCGUAAAGCGUACGUAGGCGGUUAUUCAAGUCAGAGGUGAAAGCCCGGGGCUCAACCCCGGAACGGCCUUUGAAACUAGGUAGCUAGAGUCUUGGAGAGGUCAGUGGAAUUCCGAGUGUAGAGGUGAAAUUCGUAGAUAUUCGGAAGAACACCAGUGGCGAAGGCGACUGACUGGACAAGUACUGACGCUGAGGUACGAAAGCGUGGGGAGCAAACAGGAUUAGAUACCCUGGUAGUCCACGCCGUAAACGAUGAUAACUAGCUGUUCGGGUACUUGGUAUCUGAGUGGCGCAGCUAACGCAUUAAGUUAUCCGCCUGGGGAGUACGGUCGCAAGAUUAAAACUCAAAGGAAUUGACGG